ACAGAUGGGGUUUCACCAUGUUGGCUAGGCUGGUCUUGAACUCUUGACCUCACAUGGUCCACCUGCCUUGGCCUCAGUUACUAGUAUUUUAAAUGUCAUUCUUUUGCAGCCAACUUGUUUCUUUUCUCUGAUAGAUUCUGAGGUCUUCUCUUACCUUUUGGUCUUCUGCAAGUUUAUUACAAUAUGCCUAGGUGUGAAUUCAUGUUUCUUAUAAGUUCUGAAAAGUUCUCAGCCAUUAUCUCUUUGAAUGUUACCUCACCUUUGCUGUCUCUAUUCUUUCCUGUGGGUCUUAGUUAAAUAGUAGACCUUCUCAUCUUUCCCUCCCCUCUCUCCUAAACAUCUUUCAUAUUUUACCUCUCCUUUUUCUGUGUUGAAAAUUAUGCAGAAAUAGGUACUUUUGUGGAUCCAUUUUCUAUUCGGUUGGUGCAAAAUUAAUUGUGGUAUUGGCCAUUACUUUUAAUGGCUAAAAUCACAAUUACUUUUGCACCAACCUAAUAAUUCAUAAUUAUCUCUUCAGCUGCAUCUGAUCUGCUAUUUAAUCAUCUGAUGAGAUUUUUGUAUCAUCAGUUAUAACUUUCAUUUAUGCAAGUUCUAUUUUGGUUUAUUUUCCAAUCUUCCUGGACAUUUUUGAUAGGGUUGCAGCCUUGGCCAACGCUCUGGGAUAAAACCACAAACUUCUGCUAAGGAAGGAAUGAGGAGACCCAACCCAGCCCAGAGUGGGCAGGCCCCAGGCACCCAGCACCAGCUCAGCCAGUCUGCACGGGGCACUCCGCCUGCACCUCCUCCCACCCUGGGAAAGAGCCAGCAGCGCUUCCGGCACUUGGGUUUCCAUGGCAACCAGUCACCCUGUGUGAUGAGACGCAAAAGCCACAGGCAGUGAGUGGAACAUUCCUGAAUCUGAAGCCCUCAUUACAGGUCAAUAGAGAAAAAGAAUGUUCCAGAGCCUUCUUCAGCCUGGAAGCUUCUGGCAGGUUCCAGUCACUCUGUGGGCAGUACCAGCUGCAAUCUUGCCACCAGGCCCCACCCACUCUGCACUGCACCACCCCUGGCAUCCCACAGCCUCUGCAGGGGGCACCCCAGGCACCUCCAGGCCACUGGCCCCUGCAUCUUCCGGACCAGUAGAACCAAAUUUCUGUUCCGUGUACUUCUGUUCCGUGUCCCGUUUCCUUGUUCUGGUUACAUGCAUGUCACAAAGUUAUAUCUGUGGCAGCUAGCUGUGUAGCCUGGGGCUGAAUUAAUAAGGAGUACAUUGUAGAAUCAAGUUAAUGACUGCAACUCUAAGACAGGUGGCUUGGGAGUCAGACAGAACCAAGUUCAAAUCCUGACUUAUUCGCUCUGUGUCUUUAGGCAGUGACUCCUCAGACCCUCCGUGCCCUCUGCUCACCCUUCCUCCUGUCUCACCCCUCUGCGGUUCACAGCCCCUCUUCCCUCAGGCCCCUCUUGUUCACACUUAUCUCCUGUUCAUGUGCCCCUCUCCUCCUUCGACCCCACUCCCAGGCCACACGCCUCUCACGCCCACACCUAGGGCAGGUUCCCCACUGUCUCCAGAUUGAUACUGGUCAGUUACCUCAGGGUUCUGAAGGAAGAGCGCUGAGACCCAGAGGCCACCCCAUGCCCCUCCCUUUACCUCCAGCCCCCAACCUGGUCUCCAGGCAGGUGCCAGCCCGGGCCGGCCUCGGGGACCUGGCUGGCCUGCCUGGCUCGACUGGAGUAUUCCGCCCUGACUCAGGUCUUGGGAACACCGCUCUGCCCCCAGGGGAAGUUGGGGGUGGCGGUGGCAACUGGGCUUCCAGGCUGGCCCGGAUUUCUGCUCCUCUGACUCCCUCCCCCAGCAGUCCCCUCCCACCGCCCACCCCGCUGCGCUCCCCGGGAGCAGGGGAGAGGCGUGGCCCGAGACGAGGCCCAGAAAGGGGGCGGGGCCGGACGGAGACGUUCCGAGGCCAGCCCCGCCCCCUGGGCCCCGACAGCCCAGACCCCCUCCGGGAAGGCCCCGGGAACCAGAGUAGGGCACAGGCCGGGCGCCCCUCGGAGUUCGGACGCCCCGGGCCUGACCCGCACCCGGCCUGGUGGGGCCACCCCUCGGCCGGGGAGGCUCCCAGAGCCAGCACCCGCUUCCUCCCCAGGGCGGGGCCCGGCGGCCAUGGGCCAAGCGCCGUAAAAUUUAAAGAGGUGAGAGAGACACUUCGCAGAAACCUCAGCGGCGCGGGGAAAUGAAAUAAGGCCUCCCCCCGGGGCGCCCGCCCCCGCCCGCGCUGCCCAGGCCCCAGGUCACCCUGGAGGGUCCAGGUGCGGGCCCCGCGCACAGCAGCCUCUCCCCGGGCGGGCGAGGGCUCUCUCCCUUUCCAGCGCUGCCCCAGGCACUCGGGGAUCGGGACCCAGCCAACGGCCCCAGUCCCAGGCGGGGGCCGAGCUGGCCCGAGAAGCUCUCCCCCUCCAGGGCAGAGAGCGUCCCCUCCCCCACGUGGAAAAGCAAACCCAGACCCCCCUGCCCCACUAAAAACUUGUCCCUCUCCUUUCUCGGUGUCCAUGGUGGGUCUGGUUCCCACCGCUCCCUCCCUCCCCGCACAGUCUGAGACCCCCUUCCCCGGGCCGCCCCGUCGAUCCCAGGUGAUGGAUGGAGCCUUCAGGGAGCCCGCGCGGGCGGGCUAGGCUCGGGCGGAAAUGAAGAGGAUAAGAUCUGCGAGCAGAGCCGCCUGACACCGUGAUAUCCGCCUGGCUCGCUGCGCUCCGGGUGAUGGAUGGGGCGGAGCUCCCCACCCCCCAGCCCCGGAACCUGGCGCCCCUCCCAGAAACACCGCUCCGCUGCCACACACGCGGCCGCCGGACUCCCAGCCACCGGCGCACUCACGCGGCGCCCCCCACGCAUCAGCCCGGCGCGCACGAAGGGAACCGUUCCUCUUCCCAGUCCCCUGGCGCUAGCACCAGCAGGACUGCCCUUAGCGCACACCACACCUUACCCACUUGCCCAUCACACAGCCUCUUCCGCGCACGCACAUACACAUGCAUGCAAGCUGCACGCCACCCCUCCCGCCCCCCAAACAUGUGUUCUUUCCUGAGUCUUGGAGCCACUCAGGAAGAGGGUUUGACUACCGUGAAACUCAGCCCUGGGCGGGGGUCUUGGGACAGGGAACAGAACAGCAAUUGCUAAUUGUGCUUAGCAUCUUGUUCGGCCACUGAGCAGGUCGGGCUUGGCAUGGACCACGGCAGCUGAGGCGCCAGGACUGUCCGAGCAGGCCUCACCAUCAGUGUUACCAUGGUUACCAUCUUCCUAGCAUUAUCACUCAGCGACAUCAUCGUUACCAUGGUUACAGGCACCGCAUCUCCCUCUUCCGCGUUGCUGCCAUUUGAUUCCCAUCACCAUUACCAUUCAUUCAUUCACUCAUUCGUGUAUCACUCAUCCCCUCUAUUCAUCAGCUGGGGAUAGAGAGAUAAGUCAGUCGGUCCCCACCUUUGAGAGCGCACAGCUGAAAUAGGGGAGGCAGAGGUAAGCAGCCAAGAGCCUGGUGCAUUCUGUAGAGCCCUGAGGAACAAUGAGGCCUUGCCACAUAGAUGGCACCAGGCAGGAAGGACCACAGUAAGAAGAAAGGCAUGCAGCUGUCAACAGCAUCAUCGCCACCACGGGGUGCUCCAUGUGCUUGGAGGAGAGUACACUCUCCGGGGCAGGCAAGCAGGGCAGUCAUGGGCAGGCAGUAAGGAGAGGAAACCGGUUUGGGCCACACCAUGAAGGUUUAAUGACCCAAGGUUCCUGUGGCACAGUGAUUAAGAGCCAGUCUUAGGGAGUCUGAAUGAAGGACCUGGACUUGAAUCCUGACUUUGCCACCCCCUGGCUUAGGGACGUUGGGCCCGUCAUUUCUGCAGUGUCUGGCACUUUGGAAGUGCUCUGGAAGUCAUUGUUUUCAUUACUAUUCUUUUUCCUAGAGGCCACGCUUUUGGCCUCUAGGAAAGCUCAGGUUCCUCUCUUCCCUAACCUACAGCUAAGCCACACCUCUGAGGAGCCAACGUAGGUGGUUAAGGCCAAGGUUAUUACUGGAGGGUGAAGUCUGGGAGCGGAGCUUUCCUAGAACCAGUCCACCUGUGUGUGCCCUCUCCUUUGUUUCCGUGUGGCUGCAGGCUGGAGGACCAGGGAUUGUCUGUCAUAAGGAAGGAGUUCCUACCCCUGCACAUGCUAGGCAGGUAAAGGCUUGUUCCCGCUUACCUGAGCCAGGGAUUCAACACCAUGAUUGGAACCCAGGGCCUUAGGUGAUUGUUCUUUAUCCAGGGUUUCCAUCAGAACCACUGCUGGAUUUUUUUUUUUUUAAAUAUGGGUGCCUGGCGGCCUGGAAAACAUAGUGAGACAUUGUCUCUACUGAAAAUAAAAUAAAAUAAAUUAGCAGGACGUGGUGGUACACACCUGUAGUCCCAGCUACUUGGAAGGCUGAGGCAGGAGGAUCUCUUGAGCCAUAAGGUCGAGGCUGCAGUGAGCUGUGAUUGUGCCACUGCACUACAGCCUGGGUGAUAGAGCAAGACCCCUUCUCAAGAAAAAAAAAAAAAGAAAAAAGAUUUGUGCCUUAUUAUAUCUAUCUGAUUGUGCCUUCCUUGUCUCUUUUUACUACCUUCUUCACACCUACUGACUCAGAAGUGACUACGGUUUUUUGUUUUUGUUUUCUUUUUGUUUUUUUGAGAUGGAGUUUUGCUCUUGUUGCCCAGGCUGGAGUGCAAU